rnacentral:rRNA from 1 species
GAUUAACGCUAGCGGCAGGCCUAAUACAUGCAAGUCGAACGGCAGCGGGUGUAGCAAUACAUGCCGGCGAGUGGCGCACGGGUGCGUAACGCGUAUGCAACCUACCCUGUACAGGGGGAUAACCCGGAGAAAUUCGGACUAAUAUCCCGUAAUAAUAUCCGGAGGCAUCUUUGGAUAUUUAAAGUUCCGACGGUACGGGAUGGGCAUGCGUAACAUUAGCUGGUUGGUAAGGUAACGGCUUACCAAGGCUAUGAUGUUUAGGGGUCCUGAGAGGGUGGUCCCCCAACUGGUACUGAGACACGGACCAGACUCCUACGGGAGGCAGCAGUGGGGAAUUUGGACAAUGGGCGCAAGCCUGAUCCAGCAAUGCCGCGUGCAGGAAGAAGGCCUUCGGGUUGUAAACUGCUUUUGUACGGAGCGAAAAGGCUCUCUCUAAUACUAGGGGGUUCAGUGACGGUACCGUAAGAAUAAGACACCGGCUAACUACGUGCCAGCAGCCGCGGUAAGCUCGUCUCUA